AAUAGAGCCCUAAAUUCGUCAGGAAAAAAAGGUUAUGAUAAUGCAGGGCAUUCACUUCUUUACAAAACGAGGAUAUGACAAAAAAAAUUAAGAAAAAUAAAAAAAGAAGAAGAAAAAGUACAGGGAAAGGGAAAGGGAAAGAGAAAGAGGGAGAAGGAGAUUAAAGCAAAAUUGAAGAGCUUUUUAUCCUCUCAUGCUCAAUGGCAGUCAUUCAGGAUGGGGUACAGUAUUAAUACAAUAUCCCGAACAGGCUGCUCUCUAUAUACACAAGUUUUCUUAGAUCAGUAGCCAUAGGAAGUAAUUAAGAGGAUUCUGGGCAGAUAUCUUAUUUCUUGCUACUGUCAACAAAUUGUGGUUGGAUGAAAUGUAAAUAAAAUGUCAAAUCCUCGCAUCUCUAGUCCACCUCUUCAAGAUGUAUUGGCUCGGAAGCAUCUUGAUAUUCCUAAAGUCAAGAACUUUCAAUGCAUGACUGCAUAAAACUCCCAUAAACUCAAAUUUCUUACACUCACAGGCAACAAUCUCUUCAGAUGAAUUGAAACUUACUGUAUAUUCUUUUUGUUGCCCGUAUAUGCUCACUUUGUACUCAAACAUAGAUCCAUUCUCAGUGCACCGGUUAAUGACAAUAUUCAAAGAGGUUUCAUAUUCUUGCUGCAGUAAUUCGAAUAUCUUCGGAGUGUAUAUAUCUCUUGCUUGCUUCAAGAGAAUCACAUCCCCCAUCAGUAUUGCCAAUAGCUGACUCAUAUCAUAAUUAGCUUCUAACUCUUUGUAGUGCCAAUCAUUCAAAAUUUUCCCAAGAUGCUUGAAAAAUGAAAGAACAUCGAAAUCAAACUUUAGAUAUUUCCUCAAGCUAGCAGUAAAACCUUCACAAAGUUGCACACUUCUGAUGUCGGCACAAAAAAUGUGCCUUCCAUAAGCUAUGGCCCAUUUCUCUCUUUCUUUAAACAUCUGAUGCAACCAUUCAUUCUCCCACAGACCAUAUGCAUCCAACAUACCAUUCCAUGCAUUAAUGAAAGGCUCAUCUUCCUCGUGCUCAAAAAAGCAACUGCUCAAGUCAUUUAUAAAUGAACCUGAACCCACAAACAUGUGAUUCAACUGUUUAAGUGCAUGUUGGUACACAUGCCAUACGCAUAUUCGGUGGUGUAUAUCAGGAAACACUGAAUCAAUUGCUUCAGCAAGUACAGCAUCUUGAUCUGUGAGGAUUGUCUUGGGCUUCUUUCCAGACAUUGCCUCUAUGAAAGUUCGAAAGAGCCACUUGUAAGACUCAAUCGUUUCAUCAUAUAAGAAAGCAGCACUGAAGACCAUCAUUUGCUUAUGAUGAUUCACCCCAAUGAAUGCCACAAAUGGACGACAAUCUUUGUACAGUCUGCAGGUUGUAUCAAAGCAAACCACAUCCCCAAAGUCAUUAUAGUCCAUUAACAUUUUUGCAUCAGCCCAAAAUAUGUUAGUUAUCUGAUCAUCAGCAUCAAGUUGCAUAGAAUAGAAGAAAGAAGGGUUUUUUAGUUGCUUACUCUGAAAAUAUUGCUGCAACCUUUCUGCUUCCCCCUCUUUCAUAUCUCUCAUUUGUUUGAAAGGUAGUUUACUAUUGGAAUUAAUGGGUUGAUAACCAUGGGCAUCCUGAUCUCCUACUCUGUUGCAUAAUAACUCCGAGACUAAUUUUGGCUGUGUUGUAGAACCAUCUACCCCAUUCCCUUCAAAUUGAGCUGUAGCUAAUCUCUUUUGCGAACGUAAUGUGCGAACCCUGCAUGCAGCAACAAGCUCAUGAUUGUGCUGUUCUUCAAAAUGUGUGACACGAUAUUUACCAUCUGAUUGACGAGAAAUGACCAGCUGAGCCAUACAUCCAAUUCUUGUUUCCUUACGAGGUCUCUUCACAUUCAAAUCUCGAUUGUCUUUCUGCCUAAAACCUUCUCUAAAACAAGUGAACCUCCUAGAUGCCACAGCACCGUCUAUCUUACUCCUAUUCACAUAAUCUUUUCUAACGCUAAAACCUACUCGCCCAGCAUAUGCAUUGUAAAAUUCAUAUGCAUGAUCUUCUGAAUCAAAGCCCAUUCCAAGUUUUGGCACCCCAUCCAUACCAGAACCUUUGGCCAAAUCAGCUUCAACUGCUUGUGCAAAAGUCAACCUCUUCUGUGAUGGCAACAUGUGAGCUGUAGAUGGGGUUACAAACUCAUGAUUGUGUUGUGUUUCAAAACGUGUAACACGGAACUUUCCAUUGGGUUGGCGAGCAAUGGUCAUAUGUGCCAAGCAACCAGUUCUUGUUUCAUGUCGGGGUUUCCUCACAUUUGCAAUAUGUUUGGGAGGUCGAUAACCUUGCCUAUAACAAGUGUAUCUUCUGGACACUACAUCACCAUUUAUCCUACUUUUAUUUACAAAAUCUUUCCUAAUGCUAAAACCUUCUAGAACAGCAUAUCUACUGUAACACUUGUAGGCAUGAUCCUCUGUUUCAAAUUCCAUGCCAACUUUGGGAACCACGUACCCUUCUUCCUCCUCUUUCACUGCAUCACUACUCCCUGACACAUCAACAAGGGAAACAUUUGGGCUUUGAGAUUCCAGAUCAUCUUCAAAGUGUGUCUCACUCUGAUUAACAGAGGACGAUUUUGGACUGUCACAGUCCUCGCCAUCAACUUCCACCCUACUUCUGUCAUUAGAAGAACCAGCUUCACGGGUCUGACAAUCAUGCUCACUCUGAAUAAACCCCAGGCUCUUUUCAACAGAAGAAGCUUCUGAGCCAGGAUGCUCCUGCUCCACAUCUGUUUCUACUGCAGGUGAAGCUUGGAUUUCAUUCUCUACAACCUCUUUCUGUACAUAACUUGAUGUAUCAGGUUCAUGACCAUCCAUUGAU
rnacentral:misc_RNA from 1 species